GAAUCCCGUAUAUGGCACGGACGCCCGUUGCUCUGUGAUACACUCUCGACGAGUCGAGUUGUUUGGGAAUGCAGCUCUAAAUGGGUGGUAAAUGCCAUCUAAAGCUAAAUAUUGGCGAGAGACCGAUAGCGAACAAGUACCGUGAGGGAAAGAUGAAAAGCACUUUGGAAAGAGAGUGAAACAGUACGUGAAAUUGUUGAAAGGGAAACGCUUGAAGUCAGUCGCGCCGUUCGGGAUUCAGCCUUGCUUCUGCUCGGUUUACUUCCCGUUGGGUGGGUCAACAUCAGUUUCGAUCGGAGGAGAAAGACGUGGGGAAGGUGGCAGCAUUCGUGCUGUGUUAUAGCCCCGUGUUGUAUACUUCGACUGGGACUGAGGACCGCAGCACGCCUCUGGCCGGGGUUCGCCCACGUACGUGCUUAGGAUGUUGGCAUAAUGGCUUUAAGCGACCCGUCUUGAAACACGGACCAAGGAGUCUAACAUGUGCGCGAAUGUUUGGGUGGUAAACUCGGACGCGAAAUGAAAGUGAAAAGUUGGGAACACUUAUGUGUGCACCAACGCCCGGAGCUGACCUUCUGUGACGCAUCUGCGGUAGAGCGUAUAUGUUGGGACCCGAAAGAUGGUGAACUAUGCCUGAAUAGGGUGAAGCCAGAGGAAACUCUGGUGGAGGCUCGUAGCGAUUCUGACGUGCAAAUCGAUCGUCAAAUUUGGGUAUAGGGGCGAAAGACUAAUCGAACCAUCUAGUAGCUGGUUCCUGCC
rnacentral:rRNA from 1 species